UAUGGCCAUACAUGUUGAAACGCUCAUUCCCAUACAAUCACAGAAGUUAAGCAUCAUUGAGCUUGGUCAGAUGGGUGACCACUUGGGAAUACUAAGUGCUGUAA